CCUACGGGUGGCAGCAGUGAGGAAUAUUGGUCAAUGGGCGUAAGCCUGAACCAGCCAAGUCGCGUGAGGGAUGAAGGUUCUAUGGAUCGUAAACCUCUUGUAUAAGGGAAUAAAGUGUGGGACGGGGCCUAUUUUGUAUGUACCUUAUGAAUAAGGAUCGGCUAACUCCGUGCCAGCAGCCGCGGUAAUACGGAGUAUCCGAUCGUUAUCCGGAUUGAUUGGGUUUAAAGGGUGCGUAGGCGGCCUUUUAAGUCAGCGGUGAAAGUCUGUGGCUCAACCAUAGAAUUGCCUUUGAAACUGGGGGGCUUGAGUAUGUUUGAGGCAGGCGGAAUGCGUGGUGUAGCGGUGAAAUGCUUAGAUAUCACGCAGAACCCCGAUUGCGAAGGCAGCCUGCCAAGCCAUGACUGACGCUGAUGCACGAAAGCGUGGGGAUCAAACAGGAUUAGAUACCCCUAUAGUC
rnacentral:rRNA from 1 species